CCCGGCCCUCUCCCCUCCUCUCCGCAAGGAGUUGUCGCCGCUGUGAUCUAGGUUCCAAGCGACCGUCGCCUCCACGCUGCAACUUGUUCUGCUUUCUUCUGAAACCUGUCACUAGGAAUGUUGUCCAGGGCUGCCUGAGUAGCGUGGCGGCGGAGGCGGCGGCGGCGGUGAAGGACCUGCUGACCACCUACGCCGGCAACAACCUGGGCCGAUGACAUCAAGUUCUGGUACCCCUGGUCAUUGCUGCUCCACUAUAUCGACACCCCGGACGGCCUCUGCACCUACAGCUACGACAGGGACUGCAAGGACGAGGACGGCGUCAAGGGCCAGUGCGUCGCUGGUGCCAUCAGCAACUGCACCUUUCAGUUCCUGACAUACGGGAGAUCAUCUGCUUCCCAAUGUGAUGUAUUAAAUUACUAAUGUAUUUCAAAACCUGCAAACUUCUGAACUACUUGAGUCAGUGCAUAGUUCUAGGACAGUGAUAAAAAAAUUUUCUAUUGGGUUCGAUAACCUGACGCAA